UACGUAGGUGGCAAGCGUUAUCCGGAUUUAUUGGGUGUAAAGGGCGUGUAGGCGGGAAUGCAAGUCAGAUGUGAAAACUAUGGGCUCAACCCAUAGCCUGCAUUUGAAACUGUAUUUCUUGAGUGCUGGAGAGGCAAUCGGAAUUCCGUGUGUAGCGGUGAAAUGCGUAGAUAUACGGAGGAACACCAGUGGCGAAGGCGGAUUGCUGGACAGUAGCUGACGCUGAGGCGCGAAAGCGUGGGGAGCAAACAGG
rnacentral:rRNA from 1 species